UGCCAGAGAAGCCACUGCUGAUUCAGGAAUCUGAUCUGAGUCUUGGAUUUAGGAUCUUGCCAAGUAUACAGGAGGUGGAGAGGGCAGUGUAGACAGGCAGAGUUGGAUGAAUCAAGCCUAAGUGUGGUUGAGAGAGCAGAUGACUAAAUCAAAGCAUGUCUGUGAAGGGGGUUGUGUGAGUUAGGGCCUAAAAUGCAACUUUUUCAGCUGGACCCUGGGUACCUGGCUGAAGACUUUGGACUUUAACCUGGAGAUGAUGGAGAGUAUGCAGGAUAAAGUCCAUACCAAAUCCAACGCCUAGCAAAUGGAGAACAAGCCAAAACUAACAAGAUAAAAUGUAGCAGGAAAAAGUGCAAAGAGCUGAAGUGUGGAAUAAGUGGGAGAGGUCUGCCAUGCCCUAUCUGACCUUGCUGCCAUGAUCUUUAAGGCUGUGUGUCCUGGUUGGUGCAGCUACAAGAUGGCAGAAAUGCCUAAGUGAUGGUAUGGAACAGAGGAUCCCUCUUCUCACCAUUGUCUUGCAUGUUUCCUUGUGUG
rnacentral:lncRNA from 10 species